AGGAUCUUGGGUUGGCCAGAGGGCCAUUGAAGAGGGGUGAGAGCCCUUCCCCGGGGUUGGAAGUUUCUGAGCUUCCCAAGACUUGACUGUGGAAAUCAAACACAUUACUAGACAGAGUUCUGGAAGAACAGCCUUCUACUGGCAGAGACAGAUUCUCACUAUGUGGCCCUCAGUAGAGUGAAAUGUUCAGUGUAAGUGAGUGGACAUCUCUACACCAUUUCUCAAUCACAAGCCUUCCCAGCUUCAUUCCAGGAAGCAGUCCAUUCAUGCAGCCACAGGAUAGAAAAUCGUGAUUCAAGAACUUUGGGUAACUUCAAAGACUUCAUGAAUGAAAGAUGUGAUGGAAAAGAAAAUGGUCGCUCUU